GCCGUUGCGACGGGAGGGGCGAUGGGCGCGGCUGAGCGCCGCCUCGGUGGGGCGCGGGGCUGAGGCGAGCGAGGUGGUGGACGGUUCUCUCGGCCCGGCGGCUCUCACUGGAAGACUUAAGCCUCAGCAUUCCGUUUGAAGGCAGCCUAAGGGGUCCAAGAAACAGGGGUAACGAGGAGAAACAACCCACUCCAAAGCCAUAAAAGAUUUCAAGGAACAGGAAAAUCUUCACACUAUAUUGUCACUACAAGACUAAAAACGUACUAAGCAAUCAAGUGUUAAGUAAAAUCCUGAAGGCCAAAAGAUGCAAGCCAUGAAACUUUAGCACACCGUUAUUCAACAAAGCGCUCGAGUUUUUCAUUGAGACUUGUGUGUGGACUUAACUGUUAGAGCUUACAACGCCUUGCAGGUAGCAGCAAAAGCUUAAAAUAAUGUUUUGCCCCACCGCCUAGCAGUGAGAUAGAAAGCACUGCUAUGCAACGCAAUGGUGGGAGAGUUUGGAAAUUGUUCCAGUGAGGAUGUCAGAGAAGUUGUUGAGAAAGAAUGGCUGAUGAAGAGCUGCCAAGCUGGAAUAUGAAAUAGCUUUUUAUAUUCCUUAGAAAGGUAACUGCUGCCUAACGCAUUGACCUUGGGCUGGAUUCCAGGUGUGAAAGGGUUUUGCUACGUCUUCUUCUCAACAUAAAGAGAAGUGACAGACGCAGAGGUAGCCAGGGAGCUGAGCAUGCACACAAGGGCAGUAGCUAUGACCUUGCCAUCUUUUGUGAAGAGGAGAAGCCCUCAGCUAUGCAGGAAAGGCUGCUGGUCUUUGGUACUUAAUACACGGGUUAGAUGGAGCCCAGUGAUACCCCCAAAGCUGCUUUUCUUCCACUCUCAGGCAUUUGAGUUGGCAAGCUCAGCCUUUUUUACUUGUUGCAUUAAAAAUAAGCAAUCAAACUAUCUUAUCAACUUUUCCCUGUGAUCUUAUUCCUCGUGGUCUCCACUGAAUCAGACAUCAAUAAGGUGAGUUUUGCUCAGACUAAAAAGAGAUUUGUCUGCAAGCGCAGUUUAUGAUAAUUAGGGGAAAAACAAGUUGGACAGGAUGCUGAAGAGAAAAUUGAGGCCUGGUAAUACGUGCAAACAGGGAGAGCUGUUGUUGUUUUUCAUCUUAGUGUUUUGUUUUUCAGCAGCAGAAGCUGUUGCGUUUCGCUUCCUCCAAGCAGGAGCUAAUAAUGAGCUACCAAUAACGAUCUACCGUGUGGACUAAUAAGGAGGCUGUCUUGCUAUUUUGUCAAAGCAUUUUUUUUUUCCUGAAAAAAGACCCUUGCAUAUAAUGAAGUGCUGUAAGUGGAAUGCUGCUUGGUGUCUGGGGUGCUUGGUUGCUCUUCCUUUUUCUAAGACAGGUAGAAAAGUAUGCUGGAAUUGUAAAAAUGAGUGGUCAUUUUACAGUAGAAGCGAAAAACCUGACAUCGAUGUGCAAGCAAGAUACACUAAGUUAUACACUAAGUCUGGAAUGCUUUUCCCUUGAGUCCUCUCUAUCCUGGGAGAAGUGCUAUAUCAAGGCAAUCUCCAUUCACGCUUGUACUGCUGGACCAUCACAAAGCAGCUGAAGCAAACUGGCAAAACUCCCUUCAGAGGUUGUCGACCACAUGGCUGCACAGGACCCUGCAAUGCUGUGCUUAAAAAAGCAAUCAAAUUCAAGUCAGCUUGCUUGUUGUGGGUAUUUUCUGGGAACUGUUUAUUACCAUGCCACAUCUGCUGACCAAUUUUUGCAUAAUAAACCUCUGAAAAUUAAA
ensembl:lncRNA